UAAAUAUAAAAUUUAUUAAAACACCCACAAUAUUUUAAAGAUAUCAGGAAUAAUACAUUUCACAGCCCGGCGGCCGCGGCAACGCAGAAUAAAAUACAAAUUACAAAAUAAACCAACGAGAAAAAAAAACAACAACCCAGCAAUGAAACGAAAAGAACAAAAUCAAAACGGGGGGGGGAAGGAAAGGGGGGAGGAAAAAAAGGAUCCAAAUUUGUCAUUUUUAGGCAUCCUAAAAAAUAAAUUUACUGAACCAUGGGAAAAAGGGGAAAAAGGGUGUUAAAGGGGGGGAAAAAGAAAUCAAACAUAAAGAGGAAGGGGGGGGAAAUUAUACAAAAUAAAAUUAUCAGCAUAAAUUUACUGUCCUAAAAGUAUCUACAGUUUAAUACACAUUAAUCCUAUUGCCUUGAGACAUGGGGAUAAAAUCUACCGGUCCUCGAUCCACCCCGGAUCAAAACUUCAUUUCAAGUAACCACAGUCCCAACCAGGAAUCUUCAAGUGUGAAUGUUACGGAGCCGCCGGGACACCCCCGAUGUGUGUCCCCCCCCCUUCCGCCUGCCGCCGUCCCGCUCCCCUCCUCCGUGAUCCCAAAAAACCCCCCCCCCAAAUCCCUCCCCGCCUCCGACCGAAUUCCCGACUCUAAGAAGAAAUGGCGCUUGAUGUGUGAGUUGUGGUGGGAUUCUUACCUCUUUUCCAGGGGGGUUUGGGGGAGCGGUGGUGGAAAAACCAACUGACACCCCCUCCCCAAAAAAAAUAAAAGAAUCAACCCAAAAAGUUGCUCCUGGGGUUAAAAAUGAGGCUGAAAUUGCGGCAGUUUGAAAUCCCUGAAGGAUGCGGAAAAAUGAGGAACAAACCCGGGCGGAAAGGGAAAAAGGGGGGGGGGGGGGGGGACCCAUAAUAAUUAAGGAAGAAACCGCUGCGGAAGGAUCCCUGAUUUCGGAAAGAUUCGCCCCGGAUUCGCUCGGGGAAUUGGGGGGGGUUUGAGGUAUUUGCCUUGGUUGGGGGGCGUGGGGGGGAGCUGCUGCCCCAGCGCUGACGGGAAGCCGAAGGGGAAGGAAGUAGCACCAAUAAACCCCAAAACAUGGAAAAUAAAAGGGGGGGGGGGAAAAAAGGGGGAAAAGAAAGAGCCGGGCGGAAGCGGGAUGCGCGGCGCCGUGGGGCGGACACCGUGGUGUGGGGAGGGGAGGAUGAGCUGUGGGGUGAGCGCGGUGCCAAGCGCGGUGCCAAGCGCGGUGCUGAGCGGGGGACGUGCCCCGGGGUGUCCCGUGGGGUAAGCAGGGGCUGUGCACAAGCGCCGUGGAGGGGCACGGUGCUCAGCCACAGGGCGCCGUGCCCAGCACCGUGCCUGAGCACCACGGCCAAACAUCGCACCCGUGCACAGUGGAUGAGCACCAUACCCAAGCACCAUGGUCCAACACGUGCCCGUGCGUGGUGAGGGAGCACCAUGCCUUGUGUUUGUGCACAGGGUGGCCAAACACUGUGUCCAUGCACGGUGCCAAGCACCAUGCCCAAGCACCAUGGCCAAGCACUGUGUCCGUGCACGGUGCCAAGCACCAUGCCCAAGCACCACGGCCAAGCACUGUGUCUGUGCACGGUGCCAAGCACCAUGCCCAAGCACCACGGCCAAGCACCGUGUCUGAGCACGGUGGGUGAGCACCGUAUGUGCGGAGCAUGCCCAAGCACCACGUCCAUGCACCAUGCCCGUACCCCGUGCCCAAGCACCGUCCCCGAGCCCCAUGACUGAGCACCACAUCUAAGCACCAUGGCUGAGCACCGUGGUCAUGCACGGUGCCGGAGCACUGCAUCCACAUGCCAUGCCCUUGCACCGUGGUUGUGCACCGUGCACUGUCCAUGCACAGCACCCCCAUGCACCAGGCUGAGCACCAUGUUCACACCCCUUGCCUGAGCACCAGGUUCACACACUGUGUCCAAGCACCGCGGUCGAGCACCAUGUUCACGCGUCGCGGUCGAGCACCGUAACCAAGCACCGUGACUGAGCACCAUGUUCACAGACCCUGGUGAGCACCAUGUCCAUACACCAUGUUCAUGGCGCGCGGACAAGCACCAUGCCCCAGCACCGUGCCCACGCCCCAUGUCUGAGCACCGCAGUUGAGCACUGUGCUUGCAUCCUGUGUCCACGCACCACAGCACAGCACCGUGCCCAAGCACCAUGUCCAUGGUGCGUGGCCAAGCACCGUGCCCAAAGCACCACGUCCAUGGUGCGCGGCCCAGCACCAUGCCCAAGCACCAUUUCUACACACCAUGUUGGAGCACCGCGGUCGAGCGCCGUAGUCAAGCACCAUGUCCAUGCACUGUGGUCACACACCAUGUCCAAGCACCGUGGUCAAGCACCAUGUCGACGCACCAUGUUGACACACCACGUCCAAGCACCAUGUCCACGACGCAUGGCUGAGCACCGUGCCCGAGCACCAUGUCCACGCAUCAUGUCCAAGCACCGUGGUCGAGCACCUUGUCCACGCACCGUGUUGACACACCACGUCCAAGCACCACGCCUGAGCGCUAUGUCCAUGAUGCAUGGCUGAGCACCGUGCCCAAGCACCAUGACCAAGCACCAUGUCCAUACACCCUGGCCAAGCACCGUGUCCAUGCACCACAUCCAAAGCACCGCAUCCACGAUGGCUGGCUGAGCACCGUGUCCACACGCCACGUCCGAGCCCCAUGCUCGAGCACCACGUCCAAGCACCGCUGUUGAGCACCAUGUUCACACACCCUGGCUGAGCCCAGGCACCACAUCCAACCACCACCUCCAUGAUCUGUGGCCGAGCACCUCAACUGAGCACCUCAUCCAAGCACCACAUCAGCACCCCGGCCCCACUCCGGAGGGGAACGGCUCCGAUCUCGGUUUGCAUAAACCCAAGUGGCUCCCGGCACGCUUCGAGCUGUCGCUCCGGAAAAGUAAACUUCCUUCUCCACGACAUUGCUUUUUGUUUUGUUUGCUUGGUUCCCGAGUUUCGUAUAUACAUUAGUAGCACCUCAGCGAGAUGGAAUCAGGCAGAAGCGUGAUACAGUUUGUUAAAACACCAUUAGCACCGUUUUGAUUACAAGAUUUCAUUGAAUAAAAAUAUGCCUUAUAGAGCCCACAAAGCAUACUCCAGUAUUAAAAGGAAAAAUCAGCAAUUGAGGCACCUCAGGGAUUCUGCUUUCCUUCUCCUUCCCGUUGUCCCAAGAGUGACAAGACUGGGGGGGGGGGGGGGGAGACCCCAAAACACUUCCCGUUUCCUGCCCAAAGUGAAGCACCGUGGCUGGAAAAGCCAAAAAGUGAGGUGGAAGGAGCCCGUUUGGGCUCCCCAAGCCCAGCUCUCCCCAAGGUUUCUACCACGGGCGUUGUUCUAGCACCAUUGCGGCCACGACCUGCUGCAAAAUUAGGUCCCCAUCGCACCCCGAAGCGAUUAAAAACAUGCCCCCCCCACCCCCCCCAAGAAGUGAGUGCCCCUUAACCGUGGCUUCGGCACGGGUGGGACGAGCGCGGCCGCCGGGACGGGGAAAGGAAAAGCUUUAGCUUGAAAAAACAGCCUCUCAGCAGCAAGGGGUAAAGAGCUGUGCAUAGAUUUUGAGUUUUCGUACAAGUCUGAAGCGUGCUCAUUUAUAAUGACUGAGAUUUGAGGUAGGUUUAGACGUUAUGUAGUGUAAAAACGUGAGACUGCAGCAGUUCUCGCUCCCCGACCCGCGGCGCCGGCAUCUCCCCGCUUAAGCCCGGGUUGAUCCCGCCGGAUCCCCCCCAUCCCUGCACCAAAACCAACCCCCUCCGAGGAAGCAGGACUUAGACAGGUUACACGGACCCCCUUCUCCUCCCGAUUCCAAACCCAUCCAGGCGAAGCUCACAAGGCACCCCCGCCACGCCAGCCAGGCGACGCCAACCGGGGCCGGCACCCGAAUCCGGCCCCGUCCAACGCUGCCGGCCGGGAUCAGCCCGGUCCCAUUUUCACCCUCCCCACAUAUGGGAACCAGCAUCGCCUGCGGGUUAUCCCUAAAAUCUGACUCGCCCUCGACUCCUACAAUCCUGAUAUGCUAUUGGGUACGUCUAAGAAAAGCGGUAAAUAGCUCGUUGAGUUUCCUUGUCAAAUAUACGCGACUUUACAGGUUAAAAGUUAAAAACAAAAAAGGGGGAAUUAAUUCUGAAGGACGGACGAAGCAUGUUAAAUAUUCUGCCAGUAUUUACAGUUCUCCCACAAGAAUCUCGUUUCAAACGUAACUGCUUUCAAGUUGGUGGGGGUUGAGGGGAAAAGGGAUUGGGGUUGGUUUUUGUGGUGGUUUUUUUUCUUGGUUCUUUUUUUCUCUUUUUUUCUCUUUUUUAAGUUUCGCUUUCGUUUUGUUUUGUUUUUGUUUUUUUUUUUUUUAAAUCUAGGUGAAAGUGCUUUUAAAAAAAUUCUUUCCCUAUUUACAGGUUUAAAAUCAAGAGCACGGAAAUGACCCGGCUGCUUUCUAACCGAGAUCCUGCUGAUCUGUGCCAGUGCGCGAGGAAGGAAGGGGGAACAGUAAACACAAAGGUGAUUUCUGCACGGUGACGGCGUCGGCUCUGGCUCGCUGGCUCUCCAAAAGGCACCUCAAAGUGCAAAAGCAACGACCUCCCCGGGGACGCCGGCACCCGGAUUCGGCCACGCCGCCCUCCCGGUGAGCCACGGGGCAGCUCCUCGCCCGCCCAUCCAUCCAUCCAUCCAUCCAUCCAUCCAUGGAAUCAUAGAACGGUUUGGGUUGGAAAGGACCUUAAGAUCAUCCAGUUCCAACCCCCUGCCAUGGGCAGGGACACCUUCCACUAGACCAUCCAUCCAUCCAUCCAUCCAUCCAUCCAUCCAUCCAUCCAUCCCGGUGCGGCUUCGGCAUCGGCGACGGGCGGGAAGUUUCG
ensembl:lncRNA